rnacentral:lncRNA from 1 species
AAAUAUAUAUUUGAGUUAAAGCUAGCUUGUCUCUGACUUUUGUGUGUUUCACAAAUUCAUGACAGUUUUAGGAGAAUUUAGUAGUAAUAAAUAGGAUAAUGUAACAAUGUUAUUUGACUUUCCUUGAUGGUUAACUAAUUAGUGAAAAGAAAAAAGAUAGUCAAAGAAAAUUGACUUUCCUUUCGGUCAUCUGUUAAGAGCGUAUAUGUUGGAUUUGCUACCGCCCGAUUGACAUACAAGAGUACUGUUUUUCGGUUGAAAUACCGUUAAGGUCCUCAAAGCAAGCAUUGUUCCUUCCUUCACAGAUGGUCCAGAAAUGCAUAAAGGGAUGGUCCACCAUAGUUGCUUCUGAUUUCUUGAUAUCUUCUGCCCUUGCAAACUGACCAGUAAGGAUCCUAUGUCGGGAGGCAUAGUCCACGAAAUGUCACACCGAUUCAGAAAAAGCUCCCAGCACUGUUUAGCAAUUUUACAAUGGAUAAAUAGAUGAUUAACAGUUUCCAACCC